UGAAGCCCAUAACCCUCCAUAAAUAUCCCCAUUUCAAUAUCCCUGCACCACUACCCACCCCUCUCCCCUAAUUAAAAAACAUUAUGAAUAUAUAAAGCGGUUUGUGGCAGAUACAAAAAUGAGAACAUAAAUUUUGUUGGGUAGAUAGAUUAGAUACUAAAGGUGAGCUCGUAAUUGUAAUAAAAAAUUAUUGUAAAUUCCAGUGUCAGUUCACUGGCAAAAUUGAGCUGACUGCCCUUUUAACAUCAUAUAAUAAAUCUCUGUGCUCUCUUAAGCCAAAACAAAAGCCCAUUUUGGGAUGCUUCCUGAGCGGUGGUUGUAUUCAUUCAUCAGAGAUACUUCAUGCUCAGUCCUCAACGUGUAAGUCUUCAAUCCUUAACAUGUGUUUAAUAAAACAGUCUGUCUUAACAACCAAUCGGAUACUGCUUAACACGACCAGCCAAGCUAUGGUCUAUCUGUAAAUCAGAAAAUUGCAUCAAACUCCUAAAAAAGCUAUCAGAAGAUCGGCCUGUUGAUUUAGGUUCCUUGCCUUAGUAAUAUUAAGGCAAGACGCAUUCAAAAUUCAAGCGGGGAUUCUGACCUGCUUUUACUAGAGGGUUAAUGCGAGAAUCUGUGGCCCUUUUCCCCGGAUUUUCACUGCCGUCAAGCAUCCAACACAAGUAUUGUCUGAUAUGGAUUACAUUGAGAUUUAAAUCUAUAAUCAGCCUUCGUUGAAUAAAAUUUCAUCGCUUUAAUGGAUGAAUGGGUUUGGUAUUGUGGGGCAGUGGAAGAAGACGAACCACCCAUUUCUUAUUUCUAGACGAGUCAAGGGUCACUUAAUGAAUGCACUCUUUGUGAUGGAUCAGAAACUAUUUUCCACGGUGUUUCAUGGAUGGCUGGGGGAUGGCUAUAUAUAUAUAUAUAUAUAUAUAGUGAGAGAAAGAGAGAUACUCAAAUUUCUACAAGUUAAUGGACAACAAUAUUAUGGCAGCAAUAUAACAUGACAUUGUCAAAAUGAUGGUGGAUGAUGUCUGCAAAAGUUUGCAUGCCAAUCACAUUCCAAAAAGAAAAUGUUUAUCUGCAAUACUCACACAAUACCACACUGUAACAGACCAUGGUCAAUGCACCUUUAAUCUCUUUUGCGACUGACUAUAAUAACUGACUCUAAUACCAUAUCGAAAAUUUUGAGGUUUGACGCUUUUUUGAACAAUGAAAUCAGAAAUCCAAAUUAUUGCUGUAGUGUUAACUGUUAUAUCAUUAGCUAUGAAUCUGAGUCAUGAUAUAUUUAUUGCUGUUA